rnacentral:misc_RNA from 1 species
UUGAAUUCCAAAGGAUGUUGCUGGCGUCGCGAGACGCAUGUGCACUCCGCCUUUUCAAACCCCUGUGCACUUAUGGUAGGCGGGUGGAUAUUAAGUUCUGCCUGCCUAUGUUUUAUUAUACACUCUGAAGUUUAUAGAAUGUAUCAGUUAGACCUUGAUUGGUCGAAACAUAAUA